ensembl:lncRNA
UAUUUUUUUUUUUUUAUUUUUAUUAUUUAUAUUGUUUUUUUGAAUUAAAAAAUUUUUUUUUUUUUUUUUUUUUUUUUUUUUUUUGAAGAAGAAGUGUAUACAUUAAAUUGAUCAAAAGUUACAGCAAAGACAUUUAUAAUGUUACCAAAGAACUUUUUAACUCUAAAAGAGUUCUAUUUAUCAAAUGAUCCUGAAAAAAAAUGUACAAUGGUUAAGCAGCACAACUGUUUUUAACAUAGAUAAAUAUUUAUUGAGCAGCAAAUCAGCAUAUUAGAAUGAUUUCUGAAGGAUCAUGUGACACUGAAGACUGGAGUAAUGAUGCUGAAAAUUCAGCUUUGAUCACAGGAAUAAAUGACAUUUUAAUAUAUAUUCAAAUAGAAAUCAGUUAUUUAAAAUUAAUAAUGAUAUUUUGCAGUAGUACUGUCUCAACUGUAAUUUUGAUCAAAUAAUUUAUUUCUAAAUCUUUCUGACCCCAGACUUUUGAGUGGUAGUGUGUAUUUUGAAUUUGAUGAAAUCUAAAUUAAUAGUUUAAUAAUGUUACUGCUCCAUAAAUCAGAAAAAAAAAUGUUGGACAUGUAUAAAUGUGUGUGUGUGUUUCUGUGUAGUUCUUUAUGCCAUGCGUGAGGACAGUGACACAGUUCCUGCUCUUCUGACCAACUACAUCCUCAAAGGUAUCAGACACCCGCAUCACUCGUCAGUCUCCAUCACUGUCAGUCUGAGCCUCAUUGAUCUUCUGUGUGUUUUAUUUUUGCUCUCGCUGCAUUUGACCUCUAGCGCUGGUGUGAGAGAACAGGGGAAGGAGUGUUGUGUCCCACGUAGUGUUUCUGGAGCUGAACCCAGCUGAUCUCAUCGGUUCGUCGGACGUCUGAUCAUCUGCAUCUCUCCAGAUGAUGUUCUUCUCUAAUCAUGCACAGAAUUGACCCGCCAGUGGCAUUUAUUUCUCAGUCCUAUUGUAUGUUUUGUUAUGUGUAGAUGUUAUUGUGUGAUUGAGCAUGAGUGCAGUAUUUAGUUUAUUUCCUAAUGCAAUUCACAUUUCACUUACUAUCAGAUUCCACUAGUUUACUCUAAUAUCACAGUGCAGCUGUUGUAACUCAUGCACGUUUGCAUCAUAUUCGGUUUGUUUUAGAGUGGAUCUAGAUGCAAGAUUUCCCUCUUUUGAUCUUUCCAUCAAAUGAAAUGAGAUUUCAGGACGUCUCCAGUUGCUGAUGGCUGAAAAUCAAAGAAAUGAAAUGAUUUCACUGAUUUAAAAGCAAUCUCUCCAGCAAAGGCAGGUACAAAUAUUUGUGUGGGAAAAGGUUAUUUAUGUAGCUGUAAAAUCUAAACAUUUAUCAUAUUGGAAUGAAAUAGUUUAGUCAUGCUGAACAGAUUUAGUGGUACUUAAACAACCUGAUAUUCAUUAAAUGUAUGUCAUUGCCAGUUAAUAGAUAGUCAUACUCUGUUUUUGUUCUAUUCGAUCAGCUUUCUAACUUCUUUUUAUAACAGUAUUAAUAUUGAGUUGAUGAGGAGUGAACAGUGGAAUCUGUGAGAUCUCAGCAGUAGAGGAAGGACUUUGUUUUCUGUUUUAAGGUAUGAGGAGCUAAAACACACUCAUAAAGAGAUAAACACGUCUGUCUGUUCUCACUACGGUCCUGUAAGAUUGAAUGUUUGUGCUCAGGUUAAUUCGUUUUUGUUGAAACAGAUUGGAGGUGAUAUUUUUGUACGUGUGACUAAAAUCUUUUAGUCACACGUUGUUGUUGUUUCUUGAUGGAGAGAUUGAGAUUACAUUGUGUUGAGUCCUGCAGAUGCACGACCUUAAAGAAAUAGUUGACCCAAAAAUGAACAUUUGCAGGGUGUGUUGGGUGACAAUUUUUGGAUGAACUCCCUUUAAAGCAUUAUUUCACUCUGUUUUUAUUUCUUUUGUGCAUAAAAGAGGUCCAUAUGGAUCAUGUGCCAUAUUUAAAAUCAUCUGAAGGUGUUCAGUCGCUUUUUUUUAUUUUUAUUUGUGUUCCAUGAAAUAAAAUCAUGGACCAUGAAUUAAAUUUCUACUAA